rnacentral:rRNA from 2 species
UUAAAUUGAAGAGUUUGAUCAUGGCUCAGAUUGAACGCUGGCGGCAGGCCUAACACAUGCAAGUCGAACGGUAACAGGAAGCAGCUUGCUGCUUUGCUGACGAGUGGCGGACGGGUGAGUAAUGUCUGGGAAACUGCCUGAUGGAGGGGGAUAACUACUGGAAACGGUGGCUAAUACCGCAUAAUGUCGCAAGACCAAAGAGGGGGACCUUCGGGCCUCUUG